UGGGGAAUAUUGGACAAUGGGCGAAAGCCUGAUCCAGCCAUGCCGCGUGUGUGAAGAAGGUCUUCGGAUUGUAAAGCACUUUAAGUUGGGAGGAAGGGCACUAACCUAAUACGUUAGUGUUUUGACGUUACCGACAGAAUAAGCACCGGCUAACUCUGUGCCAGCAGCCGCGGUAAUACAGAGGGUGCAAGCGUUAAUCGGAAUUACUGGGCGUAAAGCGCGCGUAGGUGGUUUGUUAAGUUGGAUGUGAAAUCCCCGGGCUCAACCUGGGAACUGCAUUCAAAACUGACUGACUAGAGUAUGGUAGAGGGUGGUGGAAUUUCCUGUGUAGCGGUGAAAUGCGUAGAUAUAGGAAGGAACACCAGUGGCGAAGGCGACCACCUGGACUAAUACUGACACUGAGGUGCGAAAGCGUGGGGAGCAAACA
rnacentral:rRNA from 1 species